CCUACGGGCGGCAGCAGUGGGGGAUAUUGCACAAUGAGGGAAACCCUGAUGCAGCGACGCCGCGUGUGGGAAGACGGUCCUCUGGAUUGUAAACCACUGUCCCCAGGGACGAAGAUGACGGUACCUGGGGAGGAAGCUCCGGCUAACUACGUGCCAGCAGCCGCGGUACUACGUAGGGAGCGAGCGUUGUCCGGAAUUACUGGGUGUAAAGGGAGCGUAGGCGGGACUGCAAGUUGGGUGUCAAAUCUACCGGCUCAACCGGUAGCCGCACUCAAAACUGCAGUUCUUGAGUGAAGUAGAGGCAGGCGGAAUUCCUAGUGUAGCGGUGAAAUGCGUAGAUAUUAGGAGGAACACCAGUGGCGAAGGCGGCCUGCUGGGCUUUUACUGACGCUGAGGCUCGAAAGUGUGGGGAGCAAACAGGAUUAGAUACCCGAGUAGUC
rnacentral:rRNA from 1 species